rnacentral:ncRNA from 2 species
CGCUCAUCCAGAGGGGCAGAGGGAUACGGCCCGUUGAAGCCCCGGCAACCAUCCAGCCGGCACUCGUAGCGAGUAGCACAUGACCGUCACGGUUCUUCACCGACGGUCACCGCGCGAGGCCACGGUUCGGGAAGGUGCCAAUUCCGUCUCGUGGCGAGAUGCGCCACGAGGAAGAUGAGGA